rnacentral:rRNA from 1 species
UAUCCGGAAUUAUUGGGCGUAAAGAGUGAGCAGGCGGUUUUUUAAGUCUGAAGUCAAAUCCUGUGGCUCAACCACAGUUCGCUUUGGAAACUGAAGAACUAGAGUGCGGGAGAGGUAAGCGGAAUUCCAUAUGUAGCGGUGAAAUGCACAGAUAUAUGGAGGAACACCGGUGGCGAAGGCGGCUUACCAGCCCGAUACUGACGCUCAGUCACGAAAGCGUGGGGAGCAAAUAGCCUUAGAUACCCUAGUAGUCCACGCCGUAAACGUUGAGGACCUGAUGCCGGAGUAUUUCGGUGUCGUAGCUAACGCGUUAAGUCCUCCGCCUGGGUACUACGUUCGCAAGAAUAAAACUUAAAGGAAUUGACGGGGGCCCGCACAAGCAGUGGAGCAUGUGGUUUAAUUCGUCGCUACGCGAAAAACCUUACCAGGGUUUGACAUCCCGCUAAAAGUCUUGGAAACAAGAUCAUAGUUAUAGCGGUGAAAGGUGGUGCAUGGUUGUCGUCAGCUCGUGUCGUGAGAUGUUGGGUUAAGUCCCCUAACGAGCGCAACCCUUGUCUCUAUUUGCCAUCAUUAAGUUGGGAACUAUAGAGAGACUGCCGGUGCAAACCGGAGGAAGAUGGGGACGACGUCAAAUCAUCAUGCCCCUUAUGCCCUGGGCCACACACGUGCUACAAUGGCCGGUACAGAGAGAAGCAAUCCCGUGAGGAGGAGCAAAUCUCACAAAGC